GGGGGGAGUGCUGGAUCCUGGUCUGUGUCCCCGCACCCUGUGCUCCCGGGCCUGCGCUAUUGGAUUCUCGUUCCCCGCUGCGCAGCCCCCU
rnacentral:pre_miRNA from 1 species